rnacentral:rRNA from 1 species
UUGCUAAUCGCACAGUCUUUGAACUGGCGAUGUAUCUUUCAAAUGUCUGCCUUAUCAACUGUUGAUGGUAGAUUAUGCGCCUACCAUGGUUGUAACGGGUAACGGAGAAUCAGGGUUUGAUUCCGGAGAGGGAGCCUGAGAAACAGCUACCACAUCCAAGGAAGGCAGCAGGCACGCAAAUUACCCACUCCCAGUUCGGGGAGGUAGUGACGAAAAAUAACGAGACGAUGCUCUACGAGUAUCGUCAUCGGAAUGAGUACAAUCUAAAUACUUUAACGAGUAUCUAUUGGAGGGCAAGUCUGGUGCCAGCAGCCGCGGUAAUUCCAGCUCCAAUAGCGUAUAUUAAAGUUGUUGCGGUUGAAAAGCUCGUAGUUGGAUCUGAGAUUGUAGACAGCGGUCCUCAAAUGAGUCGUACUGCUCGUCUCGAUCUAAUCUGUUGGUUGGUAUGCGGUGCUCUUCAUUGAGUGUCGUAUGCUGCCAGCUAUUUUACUUUGAAGAAAUUAGAGUGCUCAAAGCAGGCGCUUGCUCGAAUAUUGGUGCAUGGAAUAAUGGAAUAGGGCCUUGGCUCUAUUUUGUUGGUUUUAGGAGCACAAGGCAAUGAUUAAGAGAAACAGACGGGGGCAUUUGUAUUGCGGCGUUAGAGGUGAAAUUCUUGG